rnacentral:rRNA from 1 species
AGAGUUUGAUCCUGGCUCAGGAUGAACGCCGGCGGUGUGCCUAAUACAUGCAAGUCGUACGCACUGGCCCAACUGAUUGAUGGUGCUUGCACCUGAUUGACGAUGGAUCACCAGUGAGUGGCGGACGGGUGAGUAACACGUAGGUAACCUGCCUCGGAGCGGGGGAUAACAUUUGGAAACAGAUGCUAAUACCGCAUAACAACAAAAGCCACAUGGCUUUUGUUUGAAAGAUGGCUUUGGCUAUCACUCUGGGAUGGACCUGCGGUGCAUUAGCUAGUUGGUAAGGUAACGGCUUACCAAGGCAAUGAUGCAUAGCCGAGUUGAGAGACUGAUCGGCCACAAUGGAACUGAGACACGGUCCAUACUCCUACGGGAGGCAGCAGUAGGGAAUCUUCCACAAUGGGCGCAAGCCUGAUGGAGCAACACCGCGUGAGUGAAGAAGGGUUUCGGCUCGUAAAGCUCUGUUGUUGGAGAAGAACGUGCGUGAGAGUAACUGUUCACGCAGUGACGGUAUCCAACCAGAAAGUCACGGCUAACUACGUGCCAGCAGCCGCGGUAAUACGUAGGUGGCAAGCGUUAUCCGGAUUUAUUGGGCGUAAAGCGAGCGCAGGCGGUUGCUUAGGUCUGAUGUGAAAGCCUUCGGCUUAACCGAAGAAGUGCAUCGGAAACCGGGCGACUUGAGUGCAGAAGAGGACAGUGGAACUCCAUGUGUAGCGGUGGAAUGCGUAGAUAUAUGGAAGAACACCAGUGGCGAAGGCGGCUGUCUGGUCUGCAACUGACGCUGAGGCUCGAAAGCAUGGGUAGCGAACAGGAUUAGAUACCCUGGUAGUCCAUGCCGUAAACGAUGAGUGCUAGGUGUUGGAGGGUUUCCGCCCUUCAGUGCCGGAGCUAACGCAUUAAGCACUCCGCCUGGGGAGUACGACCGCAAGGUUGAAACUCAAAGGAAUUGACGGGGGCCCGCACAAGCGGUGGAGCAUGUGGUUUAAUUCGAAGCUACGCGAAGAACCUUACCAGGUCUUGACAUCUUGCGCUAACCUUAGAGAUAAGGCGUUCCCUUCGGGGACGCAAUGACAGGUGGUGCAUGGUCGUCGUCAGCUCGUGUCGUGAGAUGUUGGGUUAAGUCCCGCAACGAGCGCAACCCUUGUUACUAGUUGCCAGCAUUAAGUUGGGCACUCUAGUGAGACUGCCGGUGACAAACCGGAGGAAGGUGGGGACGACGUCAGAUCAUCAUGCCCCUUAUGACCUGGGCUACACACGUGCUACAAUGGACGGUACAACGAGUCGCAAGCUCGCGAGAGUAAGCUAAUCUCUUAAAGCCGUUCUCAGUUCGGACUGUAGGCUGUAACUCGCCUACACGAAGUCGGAAUCGCUAGUAAUCGCGGAUCAGCAUGCCGCGGUGAAUACGUUCCCGGGCCUUGUACACACCGCCCGUCA